rnacentral:misc_RNA from 1 species
AAGUUCUCAACUACAUCUUGAUAAUGGGGUGUGGCUUUGGAUGUGGGGAUUUGCAGGCUUUUUCAUUUUUUUUUGAAAAUGAAGUCUGCUUCCCUGAAAUGAAUUAGUGGUAUCUGAGCAGAGAUGACUACUACAGGUGUGAUAAAUUAUCUAUGCCUUGGUAUUCUGCAUAAACGGAUUGCACCGCUUCUUAACGAGUGGAGAAACACAUUUGAUGA